rnacentral:rRNA from 1 species
UACAGAGGGGGCAAGCGUUAUUCGGAAUUACUGGGCGUAAAGCGUGCGCAGGCGGUUCGUUAAGUCAGAUGUGAAAGCCCCGGGCUCAACCUGGGAACUGCAUUUGAAACUGGCGGGCUUGAGUGUGGCAGAGGGGGGUGGAAUUCCGCGUGUAGCAGUGAAAUGCGUAGAGAUGCGGAGGAACACCGAUGGCGAAGGCAGCCCCCUGGGCCAACACUGACGCUCAGGCACGAAAGCGUGGGGAGCAAACAGG